CCCCCGGGAACCCGCUCCGAAAGCUAGUGAGCGCCGAACCCGGGCAGACCUAGACCACUUGACGUUUGCAGUAGAGCAUUUAGACCGCGGGUCGAACCGCGAAGGGGAAGGAGAGGCUGCGAGGCAGGUCUGCGUGAGGAAGUGGGAAUCCGGGUGUGGGUCUUGGUGAGCCUGAUUCUCCCACGCUCUGCCGAACCCUUUCCCCCAAGUGAAGCCCUUCUCUUCCUCCCAGCCUCUCACGAGAUGUCACAUCUUGUCACCAGCCACCUCCACCUCCGUGAGAAUAUCCUGCAGGCAUUUGUUCCCUUUGAGCCGAGGCCCCUCUCCGAAGAGCCUUGCUGCAGGAUAAAACAUGCUUCGCACAAAGUCCAUUCCUGAUUCAGUGAGGGGGCAUGAAAAACAUUCUUCUCCAAGUGCUCCCAAAUGUUACCCUCUAUUCUGAAGCUAAUGGAUAAUGCCUCUACUUCGUCUGUUCUCAGCAGCUGUGGCCAUCAUAUAAAUGAAUAUAUGAAUUAAAUUAAUGUGCAUGUCGGCUUUUUCUUGGAAUCUGCCCUAUAAGGCAAGGUGACUCUGUGACUGACAUGGCCACGUGGCGGAUGUAUAUGAGGAAGAAAAGCACACCGGGUUUUAAAGGCAGCGUCUACAGCGGCUUGACAAACAUGAGACGAAAGGAAGCAAGUCACUUUUAGGGAGAAUUUGUUCAUCAGACACAUUUACCCCAAUUUCUGUUAGAUAAAUUUCUGUCAGAAUUCCUGUUGUAAGAAAGUACGUGGCCAGUUGUCAGAGAUGCUGUUGGGUGCCCCACCUUGAUGCCCUUUACUGGGCUGGGGCAUGCCACCCAGUGCUGUGAGUGUGGCCUGCUAAAAGCUCACCACCGCCCCUUCCUACACCUCCCAAUAGCCUCCCAACACCUCCCGACACCAAGGGGCAGUGGAUUAUGCCAGAAACAGGAGCCCUGAGGCUCAGCUUUACCAGAGGCCACAUCCUGGCCUACGUUUCCCCCUUCACUCCCUCAAUAAUUUUUUCCUAUAGAGCACUUCCAUAGCUGCGAUCCCCUGUCUUUAUCCAGAUACACAGGAAACUGGGAAUCAGAAGGGAUUUAGAAGAAAUCACACAGCCAGUUAAUGACAGAGCAGCCAAGGCAUCCUCAGCCUCUUUACUAUGCUGUGCACCGGCCUUCCCAUGUGCCUUGCUGAAAUCUAUUACAUUAGCUAAUUUAAUAGUUUUCCAUUUCUAUUUGUUUUCAAAAAGAAUGUAUGGAAUAUAUGUAUAGAAAAGCUUAUUGAUUUAACUCUUUCUGUUAUCCACAUCUAUGAGAAGCUAAGCUAUUUAGAUGAUUAAUCACCACUAUCAUACUACAACCAUCGAUCCAAAUUAUAAGCAUAAAUAUCUGUGGAGAUAAUUAAAAAUGUGAGUUUCCAAGACCAGCAUUCUAGUGAGGUCUUUAAAGAGCUAACAAAGGUUACAAUCCUUAAAGAGCUUUUGCCAUGUGAUAUUAACUGUUGGUAGAAUAACAUUUGCAUUGCACAUUAUGGUUUAUAAUUCACUGUCAUAAAUAUUUCAUUUAUCUUCACAGCAACCCUGUGACCUGAGCAUACUAUUGAGAUCUCUGUUUUAUGUAUGAAGAAACUGAAGUUAGAAGAUAUUAAGGGACUUCCUCAAUAUCUAAUAAGUUGCAUAGUGAAGGUUUUAAGUUGCAUAGUAAAGAUUUGACACAUAAUUGUGGGGUUUUUCAUUAGCAAAUUUAGAGCCUUUCUACUUUAUUGUGUUUUAUCCACUUUAUUAUGUUUUGUCAUUUCUUAAAUUAUUGGAGAUUAUAACAUCAGUUUAUGGUUUAGUCAUUGUGAAGCUCUGUAGUACUAUUUGUAUUUUAGAACACAAGACUUUCUAGAAAUUCUACAAGGUAACAAAAUAAGCUGCAUAAUUAAACAUUUACCCAAUUUCUAUGAA